rnacentral:rRNA from 1 species
AGCGAACGCUGGCGGCAGGCCUAACACAUGCAAGUCGAACGAAGCCUUCGGGCUUAGUGGCGGACGGGUGAGUAACACGUGGGAACGUACCUCUUGGUUCGGAACAACUCAGGGAAACCUGAGCUAAUACCGGAUGAGCCCUUCGGGGGAAAGAUUUAACGCCAUGAGAGCGGCCCGCAUUAGAUAAACUAGUUGGGGAGGUAAAGGCUCACCAAGGCUACGAUCUAUAGCUGGUCUGAGAGGAUGAUCAGCCACACUGGGACUGGGACGCGGCCCAGACUCCUACGGGAGGCAGCAGUGGGGAAUCUUGCGCAAUGGGCGAAAGCCUGACGCAGCCAUGCCGCGUGAAUGAUGAAGGUCUUAGGAUUGUAAAAUUCUUUUACCAGGGACGAUAAUGACGGUACCUGGAGAAAAAGCCCCGGCUAACUUCGUGCCAGCCGCCGCGGUAAUAC